rnacentral:lncRNA from 1 species
UCUCUCUUUUUUCUUGUUUCUUUUUAUAUCUUUAACUUGUUGGUCACAACUUUCUUUUUGAAAGAAUUAGUCAAGCAAUGAUUGACUCUAAAGAGAGAGUGCAUGAACCCGUAAAUAAGGAGGGCCACUUCCGUCUUGUCAAUUGAAACCAACUUUUUUUUUUAACCGAACAUGGAUCAGAUAUUCGAACAGUACUAAUCAAAAGAGAAGAAAAUUAGGAGAAUUUUCUUUUUUCUAAUAAAAAAAGAGAAAUCGAGUCUUUACAAAUUUAUAUUAUCAAAAGACGCUACAUUGACGAGGUAUUUUAUCUCACACAUAUAUUGUUCUUUCAAAGUCAAUCCACGAUGCAUGAAAAAAGAACAUGAAAAAUACUUUUUUUCUAUAAUAAAUAUAUUCAUGAUCCUCAUUUUAAUUCAUAAUUACCAUGUUUUUAUUUUUAUUGGCAACAAUAUUAAAAUAUUAGAGGAAACUAAUGGAUCAUUAAACUCAGUGUGUUACCCUUAUUGAACAAAUUUUUGAGAUAUCAUAUGAAGAUUAGGAGUUGUGAUUAAAUGGUUAUAAUCAAAGUCAUCCAUAUAAAUAAAUUAUUGUGAUAUCAUGCUAGAGUUAGAAGUUACUAGAUUAGACUUAAAAGUUGUUGUAAUAGUUUAUAAAAGACAUCAUUAAAACUCUAUUUGAUUCUAAAUAUUUCUUAUGUCAGAGUUAAAAUGAGUGCCUAUAAAACAACUUACUACAAAUAUCUCAAACUUCCAUUGAUUAUAAAAAUGUUGAUAAAAAAAAAAAAAUUGGGGUGUAAUCGUAUGAGAUAUAAAGAGAAUCUAAGUAAAAAAAAAUUAUGAAAAUAUAUAAUCAAAUCAAACUCUAAGAUAACAAAAAAAGUUUCGACUAAAAUAAAUCCUCUCAUUUUAUAUUUUUGGAACCUUUUUAGAAGAAGUAUAUUAAUACAUCUUAAAUCAAAAUGACUUCUUUCAUCACCCAAGAGAAAAUGAAACAAAAAGUUGUGAGCUCGCUACCAGGCAGGUUGAAAUUGCCGCGGCAAUUCAGAAGAGAUAUAAAUCUUAAAUGCUUUAUUUGCAGUAUACUCAUUGGAUUCAUCAGGCGCCUCUAUGUACAUGAUGAUACUGGGAAUAUGCAUAGAGGUGAACAUCAAUAUAUCUAAUACAUGGAACACUACAUCUAAUGCUAAUAUAACCCUAUUAUAUGAUGUAAUUAAUUAGUGGAAAUUAACCGUGAGCUUUAAGUGACUGUAGAUAAUUGCUUAGUUAAUUAAAUUGACUACUUAGGCACGGGAAACCUCCAAAGAGUUCCUUUAUUUAAUUCUUCAAGACAUAAUUAAUCUUUGAAUUAACAUGGGAUGCUUCUUUUAGGUUCAUUAUUGUCAUCAUAACUUGAACAGUUAUCCUUGAUUUUGAUACAAAACAAGGUAUCUUAUAUCUAUCAUUAAUCAUACCCAUGAUACUGCAGCGCUAUCUUUAAUUUGUGUGCCGAAAGAGGUAGAUGUGACCUCGACAAUAACAUGAAACUUGUGACAUAAAAUAUAUAAAAUUAAUCUACAAAAUGAUUACGCCACUUGUCCUCUUAAUUUUUCUCUCUUGCAAGAGUACUGCUGCUAUUAUUAUUAUUUGAUACUGCCCUUCUCAAAGGAAGCUAAUUAAAGGUUGCUUCAGAAAGUAUAGACAAAUCAUAUAAAUUUAACAUAACAAGUGUAUUUGAUUUUGAAAAUGAUAUGUAUAACUCUUCCCUCUCUCUUUGAUCAUGUUUCUUGAAACAUUUCGAAUGACUACAUUUUUAAAUUAUAUUAGUUGGGUCACAAAAAUGCAGAUGUGUUGUUGCUCAUAAUGUAGUUUUACAAGGGCCAGUUACAAAAGUGACUUAUCUAUUUCAAAUUUAAGUAUUAGUACAACAGUCUUACUGCACAUGCUAUUAUACCUUACUGUGUGAAUACUGUCGGAUAAUCAGAAAGUCAAUAAAAACUAAUAAAAUUUAAUCAUCUAAUGAUGUCCAGACUAUGAGAUACUAUAUACUCAUAAAAUAUCAUGGUCAUAGUGUAACAGCAAUUUUUAAAAGAAUUUUUAAGCUGAUGCAAAAAAAAAAAAAAAAUUGACUGUAAAAUCAUUUUAUUUUAAAGAAAGAGAAAUUCAAAUAAUGGCUAGAAAAUAAUGCUCAAUGCGACAAGACUCGUUUUACAAAUUCCCUGACUCUCACAUUGUGCAGGUGUAAGCCCACUUUAGAAGGCCCUGCCCAUGAUACGAAUUUUUCGGAAAGAUAUUUAUUCAAGGCUGGGCUAAAAUUUCGGCCCCAGAAGCCUUUUCAGAACAAACCGGACCUCUCGAGCUUUCAUAAUUUUCGGCCAUUGUCUAGAAAGAGUAACACAGAAGAAAAACAUUAGUACUACCAGUGUUAUGGGCAAAAACAUGAAAAUCGAAAAAGAAAAUGCAACAAUAUUGUCAUAUCUUUUAUAUCUCUAUCACUGAAUAUGGAUUAUGUUAUCUUGAUAUUCUCUAAUUAUGUGAACAAUAUUGUCAUAUUUUUUAUAUCUCUACCACUGAAUAUGGAUUAUGUUAUCUUGAUAUUCUCUAAUUAUGUGAUUAUGAGUUUUGUAAUUCUGAAUUCUGUAAUCAAUGAGAUUUUGAAAGUUCAGAACUCAAAUAGUCGACUAAGCUUUUCUAAUUAUGUGAUUAUCAGCUGUCCAUUUUCUCAAUUAGCUAAUAGCAUUAUAUCCCUUUAUUUGGCUUAUCUCAUAAUUUUUUUAUUAAAAAAAUUGUGAAUAAAUGAAUUGCAACAAUUAGUGGUGAACCAUUUUUGUUUGAUAGCCAUGUUUGGGGACCCAUAAACGAGAAGAUUAUUAGUUGUAUUGUCUCCUUUUAUAAUUUGACUUUAUUUUGCAACUAGCCAAAUAAUUAGGCACCAAUCAAGCUCCAUCACAAGCUCUAAGGCACAAGGGAAAAGUUAGAGACGGCAAAAAGGUUCGGGCCAGCCCAAGCUCAGUCCGGUCCAGUCGAGGCCCGCAGGCCUGUAUAUGGGCUUAAAAAUGUAAAGCCCGUAUAGGUUUGGCUUGGAUAAGGACUUAGUAAAAAAGUUCAGACUUGGCCCGGGUUUUUUAAUUUAAAAAUUAAAAAUAAAUUUAAUUGAAAAAAAAAACUCAAAAUACUAUAUUAGCUUAAUUUAUUAUAUUAGUAUUUGUUAUUUAUUAAGUUGUAUUACUAAUAUUUUAUGCAUUGUAGAUAAUUAUCUUUAAUUUAAAUAUUUUUCUUAAUUAAAAAAUAUUUUAUAAUUAAUGAAAAGUCCAAGCCCCGCUUAGGCCCGUCUAGGCCCAGCCCAAACCCACAAAUUGCCACCCCUAGAAAAAAAUCUUCUAUUAUGUGCCACGUUUUAUUCUCAGAAGGCAUGAAUUAUCUCCAUAACCUUCCAAGAUUACAAAGGAAAAGAGUUAGAAACACAACUAGUAACAUUAGGUUUAUGUAAUUAAUGGAUUUGGAUCCAGUGUUGAGCUGACCUAUACUCAACUCUUUAUAAUCUUUUACCACAUGUGUAUUUAUAAUAACUAUCAAUUAUAUAUUUUUAAAAGAUUAAUAAAAUAAAAAAAGCUCAGCAUUGAAUAAAUACGUAAUUAAUAUGCUGUUUUGCUUCUCUGCCACUAUCAAAAUUAUAGAAACCUUUGGGCGAAACAAACCUACUAUGUCAUUCAUGUGUUUCCAUUAUAUAAUUAUACAAUCAUAUUGAAAUUGAUCCACCGGGACUAUGAUUUUCAUAUAUAAUAGGAGGGAAAUAAGUUAUUGAAAAAAAAAUGAUGUUCAAAGACCCUUUUGCCUUGAACAAGAUAAAAGUGCCCGUAAGAUUAUCCACAAAAAGAUUUAAAGGUAGAGCUUUAGUGAUAGUAUUAGAAGGGAGGUUGCUAGUUUCCCUCUUAAAAUCAAUAUAUAUCAUUUACCGUACUAAUAUUUUCAUAAGAGUUAAUUGAUAACUCUCUGACACCAUAAUUUAACAAUAUUUUUCCUAUUUUAAAAUACGUUUUUAUUCAUAAUUAUUAUUAAUUAAAUAAAUCAAAUUAAUAGAGAUUAAACUAAAAAAAUUAAAUACUAAAAAUAAGAAAUAUAGGUUUAAAUGUGAAUAAAAAAAGUAAUAAUAAAAUAUUUUUCUUACAUUUUUAUUGUAUUUAUACACACGCACGCACGCAUGCAUAUUAAGAUAAAAAUAUUGAGCAAAUAACAUAUUUACUCUUUUUUGCCUUUAAAAUUUUUACACUAAAAAAUAGUGGUUAUUAUAAAAAUAGUAGGAGUAUAAAUGGUAAAUAUUAAUUUCAUUAUGGAGAAAACCGUUAAUUCUCUGUAUUAGAAUAAUAGCUUUUCUUUUUUUUAACUCUUUGGUCUUGCUUCUAGGGUGAUAAAUUCGCAAAGCAAUCUUCUUAACUAAGCUUUAGGAACCAUAUUUUAAAAACAAAUGUAUGCUUUAAUAAAUUCUAACAUUAACGUCCACAAGUAACAUCAGAAGCAUGCUGCCAUAAAUUAUAACAUACAAAUCAUUCAAUCUCUAAAUCUAUUAGAGAGUCCCCAAUUUACCUCACAAACGAGAUUAGAGUGAUGGGUUCAUGACUUCAUGCUCAUGUUCAAUAUAAUUAAACGCGCACAAAAGCUAGGUUUUUGGUUUUGGCUCAUAAUUUAAUCACAUAAACAUAAUUUUUAGGGUUAUUAUCAUUUCACUACCUCAAAAAUUAAAAAAUAUCAAAUGACUACAAGAAAUAUUGUCCCCUAUCAUUUCCCUACUAUAUCUUUACAAAAAUAUCAUUUUACUACUUUUUCGUUACAACUAUUAGUCUACCAGUUAGUUGACUAACAAAAUACCAAUUUUACCUUUCAUGAUUAAAAAAAAAAUACUUGAAACUUAUUUACAAAAUCAACUCUUUCACAUUUAUUCGGCCAUCUAAGUUUCAUUUCCAACUUAUUUACAAAAUCAACUCUUCUACAUUUAUUCAACCAUCCAAGUUUCAUUUCUAACAUUAGGAUAUAAAAAUGGAAUCAUUAAUAAGAUAAAUUUGUAAUCCAUUUAUAAAAAUGGAUACAAAAUACCAACAUAAUUCUUUUUGCUGGAAUUAUGAUAUAUGAAUUACAAAUUUAUCUUAUUAAUGAUUCCAUUUUUAUAUCUUAAUGUUGGACAUAAAACUUGGAUGAUCAAAUAAAUGUGGAAGAGCUUAUUUUGUAAAUAAGCUUCAAGUUUUUUUUUUUUAAUCAUGAAGGGUAAAUUUAUAUUUUGUUAGUCAAAUAAUUGGUCAACCAACGGAAAAGUAGUAAAAUGAUAUUUUUAUAACGAAAAAAUAAUAAAAUGAUAUUUUUAUAAAGAUAUAGUAAGAAAAUAACAGGAGACAAUAUUUAUUAUAAUCAUUUGAUAUUUUUUUAAUUUUUAAAAUAAUGAAAUAAUAAUAACCCUAAUUUUUAAUACAUAGAAAAUUGUAGAAUAUAGCACGUAAAUGCAACAUGAUUGGUCCAGCUCAUAGUUCAGAAAAUUAUUAAUAGAAUAAUAGUGAUAAAUGGUGGAUGUUUUCACACGUUGGCCUUGGCAUCUUUUUCUAGCCUUUUUUUUUUUUAACUUGUUGGUCACAACUUUCUAUUUGAAAGAGUUAGUCCAGCAAUGAUUGACCCCUUAAAGAGAGAAUGCGUGAACCCGUAAAUAAGGAGGGCCGCUUCUGUCUUGUCGAUUGAAACCAACAAUCUCUCUUUUUUCUUUUUCUUUUUUUAACCGAACAUGGACCACAAUUUCCAACAGUAACUGCUCAAAUAAGAAGAAAAUUAGGAGAUUUUUCUUGUUUUUAGGGGGGAAAAAAAGGGGCAAUCGAGUCUUUGCAAAUUUAUAUUAUCAGAAGGCACAACAUUGAUGAGGUAUUUUAUCUCUCACACAUGUAUUGUUCUUCCAAAGUCAAUCCACGAUGCGUGAAAAACAGUACAUGAAAAAUACCUUUUUUCCUGUAAUAUAUACUCAUAAUCCUCAUUUUAGUUCUUAAUUACCGUCUUGUUAUUGUUAUUGGCAACAAUAUUAACAUAUUAGAGGAAACUAAUUGAAGACAAAACUGAUUUUUUUAUUAUGAUUGAACAAAUUGUUGAGAUGCAAUACAAAGAUUAAGAGUUGGGAUUAAAUGGUCAUGGUUAGAGUCAUCUUGCGGUAUAAAUUCUUAUGACAUGAAAUUGAAGUUAAAAUUAUUAAACACUUUAUUAUAAAUAAACCUGUAAUGGUUUAUAAAAAAUACCCAAUUAAUAACAAUACCAAUUUGUUUGAGUUAAAUGAGUGCCUAUUCAACAACCUACUAUAAAUAUCUCAAAGUUUUCAUUGAUGAUAAUAAUGUUGAUAAAAAAAAAUGGGGGUAUAAUGGCAUAUAAAGAGGGUGUAAAAACUUAAGUAAAAAAGUACCAAAAUAUAUAAUCAAAUCAAACUCUAAGAUAACAAAAAUAGUUCUGUCCAAAAUAAACUAUUCUAAACUUCCUUUUUUUUUUUUUUCCAAGCACCUUUAGACAAAUACAUUAAAUACAUUAAUUCAAAUGAUUUGUUUCGUCAUCUAAGGGAAAAUGAAACAAAAACUUGUGGGUUCUCUAUAUAUGUGAUAAUAGUGGGCGUAUAUAAACAAUAAAGUGUUGGCUCCACUGGCAAUGGAGUCCUCUUAAGUGGCUUGACUGGGUUUGCUCCCCAGUUCGAGUCGCAGGGAAGUUGUUUUUGUUGGGAGAACCUGUGCCUCUCGGUUCGAGCGGGGACUUCUAGUCUGGGUUGUGGUACGAGCUUAAAGGUGUCUCCCACAGUUGAGGCCCUCCCCAGGAUACCUCGUGGUCAAAACCAAAAAAAUAAUAAUAAUAAUGGGCGUAUAUAGGUGCUUAUCAAUAAAUCUAAUACGUGUAACACUAUAUUUAAUGCUAAUUAAUUAAUUAGUGGAAACCCUGAGCUUUAAGUGACUAGAGAAUUGCUCAGUUAAUUUUUUUUAUUUAUAGGUAAUUAAGGACUAUUGAUAAUUGCUUAGGGCAUCUCCAAUCCAACACCAAACCCAUCACAAAAUCACAUUUUACAUCAAAAAUAGUGUAAAAUACUUCUCCAAUGUAGCACCAAAAUGGUGUAAUGAAUAGUAUUGCACCAAAUAUAGUGCAACACUAUUCAUUACACCAUAUUUGGUGCUAGGAAAAAAAAGUCUCAAAUAUCUUUAUUACUUUAUCUUAUUUACAUAUGUGUCCUAUUUUAUAUAAUAUUUUAAGUUAUUAUUAUUAUUUUUGUUAUUUUUUUAAUUUUUGAAUAUUAUACUAAUAUUUUAAAUAAAAAAUAUUCAACACAAAAAUUAAUAAUAAAAAUAAAAUGCCAAAAUGAAUAUUAUACUAUAUUAUUGUUGUUAUUUAUUGUUAUUGUAUUUUUCUAUAUUAAUGUAAUGUUUAAUUUUCAUAAUGCACUUAUUAUUGUUAUUGCAUUUUUCUAUAUUAAUGUAAUGUUUAAUUUUCAUAAUGCACUUAUUAUUGUUAUUGCAUUUUUCUAUAUUAAUGUAAUGUUUAAUUUUCAUAAUGUACUAAUUUAGUUAAUUAAAUGCAAAUUUAAUAAUUUUUUAUAUAUUUUUUUGUUAAUCGAUAUAAAAUUACUCAUUACUUAAUUAUCUAUAUUAAUAGUAAUAUUUAUUGUGUUAAUUGAAUUAAUUCUUGAGAAUUGAAUAAAAAGAAGAAUAUUCUUUUUAGUGUAAAUGGGUUGGAGAUAAAAUAGUAAUUUGGUGUGAAAAAAGAUACAUUUUUUAUGUUGGUGUUACACCAAAAUAGUAUUAUGCAUUGGAGAUGGUCUUAGUUAAUUAAAUUGACUACUUACGCACGGGAAACCUCCAGAGAUUUCCUUAUUUAAUUCUUCAAGACAUAAUGAAUCUUUGAAUUAACACAGGAUGCUUCUUUUAAAGUCAUUAUUGUCAUCAUUACUUGAACACUUAUCAUUGAUUUUGAUACAAAACAAAGUAUCUUAUAUCUAUCAUUAAUCAUACUCAUGAUAUUGCAGCGCUAUCUUUAAUCUGUGUGCCGAAAGAGGUAGAUGUGACAUGAAACUUGUGACAUAUAAUAUAUAAAUUAAAUCUAUAAAAUGAUAACGCCAUUUUAUCUCUUAAUUUUUUUCUCUUGCAAGAGUACGACUACUACUAUUAUUAUUAUCAUUCGAUACUGCCCUUCUCAAAGGUAGCUAAUUGAAGUUUGCCUCAGAAAGUAUAGAGAAAUCAUAUAAAUUUAAUAUAACAAGUGUAUUCAUCUUGAAAAUGAUAUGUGUAACUCUUCACUCUCUCUCUCUCUUUGAUCAUGCUUCUUGGAACAUUUCGAAUGAUUAUAUUUUUAAAUUAUAUUUCAUGGGUCACAAAAUGCAGAUGUGAUGUUGCUCAUAUUGUAGUUUUACAAGGGCAAUUACAAAAGUGAUUUAUUUGUUUCAAAUUUAGAUGUUAGUGCAACUAUCUUAUUGAAUAAGGUACCAUAUCUUAUAGUGUGGACACUGUCAGAUAAUCAGAAAGUCAAUAAAAAUUAAUAAAAUUUAAUCAUCUAACGAUGCCUAAACUAUGGGAUACGAUAUACUCAUAAGGUAACAUAAUCAUGAUGUAAGAACUAUUUUUAAAAGAAUUUUUAAGCUAAUGUCGAAAAGAAAAAAAAAUUGACUAUAAAAUCAUUUUAUUUUAAAGUGGGAGAAAUUCAAAUAAUGGCUCGAAAAUAAUGUUCAAUGCAACAAAAUUCGUUUGCAAAAUUCUCUCACUCUCAUAUAGUGCAGGUGUAGGCCCACUUUAGAAGGCCCUACUCAUAAUAAGAAAUUUUUGCGAAGAUAUUUAGUUAUAUAGACCAAAUUUCUAAAUGAGGUCCAAUUUAUCUACAAGUGUCCGGUUGUCCCAGAAGCCUUUCGGGCCGAGCUGGACCUCCCAAGCUUCAUAUUUCUCGGCCAUUUUCAUUAAAAUUAAAAAUGAAAAUACAACAAUAUUGUGAUUUUUUUUAAUCUCUACCACUAAAUAUGGGUUAUGUAAUCCUGAUAUUCUCUAAUUAUGUGAUUAUGAGUUUCUUGAUUCUGAAUUCUGUAAUUACUGAGAUUUUAAAAAUUCAGAACUCGUGUAUAUAAAAAAAAAAAUUCAGAACUCAAAUAGUCGAUUAAGCCUUUCUAUAAACAAAGGCCACCGUAUACACGUAAAACAAUUCAUAAUUCAUUUUUCAGCCAAAAUCGAAUGCUUUGAUUAAAAGUUCUGACAAAAUAAUAAGUAUAGCAAUAUUAAACCGAGUGAUUAAUGUUGUUUAGUCUCUAUAUUUUAACUUAAGUGUGCAUUUAAUUUUUAUA